rfam:Synechococcus sp. PCC 7335 scf_1103496006895 genomic scaffold, whole genome shotgun sequence.
UAUUGUGUGAGGAGCGAACCAGUUAAGGACACCGAGACGAAACACGGCCAGUCGUCGGUGUCCUUUCUGAU